rnacentral:tRNA from 1 species
UUCCUGGUGGCUCAGAGGGUAAAGCAUCUGCCUGCAAUGCGGGAGACCUGGGUUCGAUCUCUGGGUCGGGAAG